ACAGUAGUAACAAAGUUUUAAUAGGUGAUACUAUAAAAGAAAUGCAAAUAAGCAAAACAAAUAAAAGUAAAGAGUUGUUACAAAACAAUAUAGAUUAUAAUUAUAUACAUGUUGAAGAAAAAAAAAAUAGAAAGAUUGUUAAUAUAAUUAAUAACCGUUCGAAUGGUGCAAUUAAAAAUGUAUAUACUAAUGGGAAGCAUAAUAAUGAUAAAAUUUAUAGUAAAGACCAUAGUAAUAAUAAUAACAGUAUUAAAGACAAAGUAGAUAAUAAAAAGAAUAUGGUUAUGAAUAAAUUAAAUAAUAUGAACUUAAGCAUAAGUAAUAAUAUUCCGUAUGAUGAAAAUAAUACCUUCAAUUUACUUUUAAAUAAUUCUAAAAAUAUAUUUAUGGCAUCACACAAUAGUAACAUAAAAAUGGAAUUAGAAAAAUUAAAAAAAAUUAUUAAUUUUUCGAAUAAUGUAAAUAAAAAUAAGCAAACAGGUAGACUUCAACAUGAACAGGGGGGGAAUAACAAAAAUGACAACAACAGUAAUAAAAAUAACAAUAGUAACAAAAAUAACAACAGUGACAACAGUAACGACAACAGCAGUAACGACAAUAACAAAUCGUGUACUAAUUAUACGAAUUAUGAUAUGAAAGCACAAGGUAAUAAAACAAAUUAUGCUCAUAAUUGUAUGGAACCCUAUAAAAAGUGUAAUGUUAUCACUCAGAACAAGCCUAAUUGUAUUAAUAAUAAAAAUAAAAACAAAGACAAUUGUAGCGAUGGUAGUACUGUCGGAAGUAGUGUAGAAAGUAGUUACGACAAGUUAAAUGUUAAUAAGGAUAAUAAAAAUUUAUACAACAUUAUUAAACGUAAUAACAAUGAUGAACAGAAUGAAAGUAACACAAAAAAUAAAAAGAAAAACAAGAGUAACAAAGAUAACAAAAAUAGUCAAAAUGUAUACAUUGCCAACAAGAGUAACAAUUGUAAUAACAAAAAUGAUAAAAAGAGUAACAACACGUACAAAGAAAAAAAUAAUGGAAAAAAAAUAAACAAGGAUGUUUAUAAAAUAGUAGAUGGAAUUGAAAAUGAUAAUAGCAGUACCAAUGCUAAUGGUAACAGUAAUGACUAUAUUAUUAACGAGAAUGACAAUAAUAACAAGUUGAGUGAUAAAGAUAGCAAAGACAACAGUGUUGUUGAACAAGUUAGUGUAAAUAUAGAGGAAGAAUACGAAAAUAAAGAUAAACAAAGUUAUCAUAAAAGCAGUAAAAAAAACGAGCAGGUUAUCAGUCAAAAUUGUAAUAUUAUAGAACUUAACCAACUGAAACAACAAAAUCAACAUAAAAAUAUGAAUCGAAAAAAUAAAAAAAAUAAAAAAACUGAUAGUAACAAAAUUUCAAAUAAUACAAAAGCUGCUAAGAAUGAAAUGAAAAUGAAGAAUAUAUAUGCUUCUAAUGUGGACAACACUAGUAGUAACAACACUGUAGCUGCUUCAACAAACGGUAUUCCGUUUGGUAAAAAAAGUGGUAGUAAUAAUAAUGCAGUCAUUAUAAAUGUAUUAAAAAAUUAUGCAGCUAAUGAUAAUAAUUUAAAUGAUAACAAUAGAAAUAGCAAUAGCAAUGACAAUAGCAAUAGUAGUACUGAUUCAAAUUUGUUAAAAAAAAAAAAUUAUAUGAACGAAAUUGAUAUGUUGUUGCUUCAGGAAAAUAUGGACAUAUUAGAAAAACAAAAUUGUAUAAACAUAAACAAAUAUGGUGAUGGUUAUAAUAAUAAUAAUAGUGGAAAUAGCAACAGUGGAAAUAGCAACAACAGUAGUAAUGUAACAGCAGUUAGAGACAAUCUGAGUCUUAUGACAAACAUCAGUGAUGGGACAUACCCAAAUGAUCUAAAUUUAAAUUAUACGUUGAAUAUCCUAAAUAAUAAUCUUUAUAACAUUUUUAACAAUUCAUAUGAUAAAACCAAUAAUAACGAAUUUAUGAGUAUUUGUAAAGAUUUUACAAAUACAAAUAAAAUUAAUGAAAAUAUAAAUUUAUUGCAAAUGAAAGAGAGUGUAAACAACGACAUAAUGAUCAAUGAUAAUAUGUAUAAUAAAUUAAAUCAGACUACUACAAUUAAUGCUAACUUUGUAGGUUCAAACCAGCUGAAACAUUUACCUUAUAUGCAUGCAUCUUUACACGAAAAAAAAGAAGAAACAACAAAUAAAACAAAUCCAAGUGUACAUCAUCCAGGUUUUCAUCUAAGUGCAAGCACGGGUUCACACUCUAACACCGACACAAAUACAGACACACACUCGAACCACAUGAACGAUUUAUCAAAAAGUAAAUACAAAAUGACUGAUCCAAAUAGUAUGAACAAUAUAAUAAACAAAAAUUAUACGAAAACUUUUCCCAACAACACAAAUUUUUUACAUGAAACGAAAAAAAAUAUAAUUAAUAAAUACAAUACGAAACAUAAUAUACCGACUGAACAGACAGUUAAUGACAAAAUAAAUAUGAAUGUUGGUCGAAGCAUAGUUAUAAAUGGAGAUAAUAUAGUGAACAAUUUUAAUAAAAGUAUGAACAUAAAUAUGGUAAACAAUGGAAAUAAUGGUAUUAGAAGCGGUACUAGUGCCACGGUUAACGCAAGUACCAAUGUUAGUGACAAUUCGAAACAUCCAAACAAACACAAUA
rnacentral:lncRNA from 1 species